UUACAGAUGGAUGACCUAGUCU
rnacentral:snRNA from 1 species